rnacentral:lncRNA from 1 species
UUUAGAUUUUUUUCCUAGAUUAAGUGCUUGUUUUGGUGCAACACAAAUUCAGAUAGCUUUGAAACCUUCCUGUUUAUAUACCCUAACGAGAUAACUCGUAUGACAGGAUAGACAAAUCAAAGGUUUGAUAUUACUUUUGAGUCUUGAGCUUACAUGUUAAAUAUUUUUACUAAUCACUAUGGAUUUUUUUUUUUUUUUUUUAAAUCACUAGUGUUCUUAAAUUUCAUGACUCUCUUGAGUUUAUUUAUCCAUCGUGGGCACUAUUGGAUCUUAUGUUCUGUAAACUUGCUCUUCGGUUCUGGCAUGUUAACGAAUUGAUUAACCACCCCAGUCUUUUGUCCCUGUAAUUCUUGUUACUAAGCAUCUUUCUCCCUUCCAUUUCACUCUCUCAUGAGCGACUUGUAUGAUUUAAUCUUUCAACCUUUAAAAAUGUCAGUCAUUUCUUAUACCCUUCCCAUCUGUCAGUUUAUCAGUGAUACUUAAUAUUUCAGAGUUUACUCCAAGAUGCUUUGUUUUUCCUGUUGCUUUGGCUUCUUCUAGUUUAUAUGUUAGGGAUUUUCCUCAGAUAUUUGGUGAUUUGGGGCUCACAGAAGUGGAGCACUUAAACUAAUUGGAUGUUUUGAACAUUUGUCUGGUUGGAGGAGAGCUUGUGAACUCAGCAAGGUUUAUUGCUCACUGAGUGAUCUGCAUUUAUAGUGAUUAUUGAAGAACCCCUAGAAAUAUCCUUUGUUUUCUCUAGCUACUCAGGCUCAACAGAGAAGUCUUCUAUCCUGUCUGAAGCCAUAAAAACUUGGUCUGCUGGUAUUCUGAUCCUCGGGUUACAGGGGGAAGGCUAAGGGAUCCCCAUUUCAUCACUGCUUAUUCAGUCCAAACAAUGCUCUCUCACCUGGUUCUGAGAUUAAAUUUCUUGAGUAUGGAGGAAUCAGUUGUCUGGCAAUACUGAGGAUCAAGAUUGUUAGAUAUUUAACCAACUCUGGUUACGCCUCUUUUACCUAUAUUUGUACUGGUACUGGGCUGCCAUUUAUUGACCCCUGCUUGAAUUCUGUUCCUGGUUUUCUGAGACAUGUCUUCACUGCUGAGAAUAUUCAGCAUUUAGUCAGCAUUUGUUAAUAGGCUUUGCAUGUUUUAAAAUGUCUUUCCUGUAACCUUUUCUUUGAAAUUGCUAGGUUUUAGUAGGUUUUCAGAAGGGUGUUUGAGUUUGGGGUGGUUGGUAAAAAGAUUUAGGCAAACGGCAGCAGAUAAAUUAAAAUAUUAGCUCAGUAUCUUUCUAGAAUUUGGCCAACAACAUUCACAAGUAGUUGGCUAGAUGAUUAUAGAACCAUCCUGUUUUAUUAAUGAACUGUUAUGUAGCUUUGAUUUCAAUUCUUGCUUGAUCCACUUGAAACUACCAACUACAUUUUCAGGUAAUGAAGUUUUCAGGGACUGGUCCUGAAUCAAAUUUUGAUCCCUUUUGGUUUACUAGGUAUCUACUACGAGGUGAGUUCAUUUCUCUUCCUGGGGUUCUGUGUCUUUUUAUUCCUUUCUUAAACUUCAGUGUAUAUUAUAAGGUUGUAAAACUUAAACUAUAUUAUUAUUUUCCGUUGUGAUGGUUAGUUUUUCAUUGUACUUUGUGGUGCCUGAGUUCUAAUGCACUGUAGGUGGAACAUCUGUUCAGGUGCCAGUUUACACUGAGAUAGUCUCAACUACAUUAAGAUCCAGUUUUAGGCUUUUGCAUCCUGUAUAUUAGAAAUUCAGUUUAUGUGCUUUUAUUUUAUUGCUUGGGUUUAUUUUGGGGACUGCUUUGUUUGUUUAGGGUUUUAAGGUAUUAGGAAUUUUGUAAACAACAAGGACUAAACCCACCAUCUACUUACAGUAUCUUUGUUGAUCCUGAUAUGUAUGAGUUUAUUAGGUUUGGGGUUAGUUCAACUUGAUACUGUCGAAAUGCACAAUCUCAGUGAAGAAAAUUUAUUUGGUCAGUGUGAUAACUGUAAAUUACCCUAAAUUAUUCAUUAAAUGUGAUUAUUUUUAAACUACUUUUAACAAAGUUGAGAACGUAACAUCAUUCAUUACCAGUCACGUUUAAGCUAUUGUGGUUUAGCAUAGUCUGAGAAGUUCAUGAGUAAAAUGAUUAUAGCAUGAUAAAUAUUUCAAAGAGGCCUGAAGGUCCUUUGUAUUAGAAUUAAUCAAUUGUUAUUGGUGUUGACUGGGAUUGUUUUUACAUAUUCCAAGUUAUCUUAGCUACCCUAACAUUAAGAUGGUGAGAGUUAACAGUUUAUUUCAUAAGCUUUUGAGUUUUUACUUUUACCUCCUGUAGAAAGACAAGGGCACACAUUUGAUAGUUACACCAGUCAGCAUUUUAAUCAUGGUCUAGCAUGAACAUCACCCAAGAUUGUUAGCAUUCUAAUGAGUGUAUCAGGUGGCUUACUGAGUGGUGGAAGAGAGGUGGUGUGGGUUGCGAUAGCUUUGAGAACAUGGGUUAAUUUUUGUUUUAUCAUUCUUUACAGGCAAUGUACUUGCCUUCUCUGUAUCUUCUGUAUCUUGAUUCUUUGUACCUUUGGUUUGUCACUGAUCUUAGUCAUCCAUUGCAUUAUAAAUGGGUAACCAGUAACUGAAAUUGACUUGCUGUUGUCUUGAAUUGAGCUGGUUAUAUAUUUGACCUUAGCACCCCUUUAAGAUCUCAAGAGAAUUUGUGUGGUUAUAGCAGCCUCUCAUAGAUGGACUUAGGUAAAGAAUGUGGGACUUGGUGGACUAUAAUUUAGAGCAGAUCCUAACUACUAAAUGUUGGUGAGUUUUUACCAGUAAGUCCUGUAAAGGCUGAAAAUUGGGAUGAUGGAUGUAACAAGGGAAUGGGAAAAGGAUUUUAACAAAAUUACUGUGCUAUUUAAAAAUGGUGAAUUCUUCAGAGGAAUUAGGUGUUCUUGUUACAACAGUCCAAAUCUGUUAAAAGUCUUCAUUUAAAUAAGACAGAUAGGCACUAAUUCUUUAGUGAUAAUAGAGGUUAUAGGUUUCUGUUUGGGGAAACAACUCCCUUGAUGUUGGGAAGAGAAUCUACUUCAAGGUUAAUUUGUAUAUAUCUUAUUUUGUAUCAGAUAGCUGUAUUCCUUUUGCAUUCUAGAAUUUGAGAUCAAGAUUAUUCUGACCUUUUCAAAAUUUAUCUUAGAAAAACAAGUGUUGGGAUAGAACUUGGUAGGUUGGUUACUGCCAGUACCUAAAUGUGACAUUUAACAUGUCAUGGAAACUGCUUUGAAUAAAUAAACUUGAGACAAGGAAUAAUGUGUUUGCUUUUUUUUAAAUGGAUGGCCUUGGAUUCCACACCUUCAUGUUUUUAUAAAAUACCAGUAGGAGACUAAUGAAGUGGAACCUUACUAAAAAAAUUUUUUGGAAGAUGACUGAUUUUAUUACAGUGUAGUUAAGAGGUUGAUUAAGGCAGUAAAUUAAACUUUGAAAUGCUCAUAAAUUUGUUGUAAAUUGCCUCUACAUUCAUUGAUAAUAUAAAGCAUGCUACUACUAAUCGAUUAGUUUUAUGUAUUAAGACCUAUUGGCAUGUCUUUUUUCUUAGAACCUGGUUGACUUGAUUUUAAAUUACGUGAUGUUUUCUGUACCAUUUAGCAUUUUCAAGACAUACUCUUCCCAAGCAAAUUCCACUGGAACCAGUGUUUCCAUUUCUAGAAGUAUAGAGUCUUUAUUUGAAGUUUAUAGUGGGGUUUCAUGGGGUUUUAAUUUGCACUAAAUUUUCGUUUAUGAAAGAUUACUUAUGUUCAAAUUAUAAUGUAGUAGUGCUUUUUGUCUUACGAUUAAACUCUUACAGCACUCAUGCAUUUUUCGCAUUGUCUUUUUUUAAACAAGCUUUCUCUUGGAUGAAUAUCUUGAAAUACGUAGGUCUUAGUUUUAGUUGACAGGACAACUACCAUAAUAUUGAAACAUAAGAAUUUUAAAAGAGAUCCUUUUAAGAUUUAAUUUAUGUUGCAAGUUGAAGAGUCACUGAAUUUGAUAUAAGAAAAAGAGCAAUUCCUCUUGUCUCCAGAACGUGCAUGAGGUGUGAUAUUGAGAACAGGAGGAUUUUGUAUGGGGAUGUUUAGUCUUUGGCUUUUGCUGGGUUUGCUGUCAAAUGUAGUGAGACGACUCAAAGUGUUAGUAUGCAUUUACUGUUUUCAUUUGUUUACAAACCCUUUGGGAAAUGGUAAAUUAAGCUAGAAGUGUAAUAGCAAAAAUGUUUAUGCUCAAAAGUCUUUAACAGUAUUGUUUUGAUUAUUCCAUUUCAUUUUGUGUGUUAACAGUGUUUAACAGAAUGUGGGUCACCUAGUGUUUGCCUGCCAAGAGAGGUCAUCAUUAUAUGUGGGGUCAUGGUGCAGUGCCAAGCAGGUCUUCUGCUCCCCAACAAAUGACCUCUUUGUGUUUGUAACCAGCUUGUGGUUUGCCUUUUUGUUCUACAAAAAACAUCAGAGGCCAGAAUUAAACAAUGGGUUUCAUAAAUUCUAGUUUCUGCCAUAAUUCUACAAUGAGAUUUCUCUGAAAGACUUUUGAUUCUAUAAUGGGGUAAUACAGACUUUCCAAAAAAGUUCCAAAUAUCUUUUCAGAUCUGUUAAAAUGUAUGGGACUUUCUAUUUAGAAGAUUUUUAAAAUUUUUAAAUAAAUAUAAAAUAAUUAAUGAUUGGUUCAGAAAUCCACCGUUUGUUUCCAACUGUAAAAUUUUAUCUUCCUCAAGCAUGGAUAUUAAAUGAUUGGCAUGUUAAAAUGCUUUGAGGUUGGUAAUUAUUAAACCUUAUUACAGAGUUUAACAUACUUUGAAGCCCCAUCCCAUAGUGAAGCAGAAUUUUUAGGGUUUUGUAGCCCAAAUAUCCGUAUUAUUAAGAUCUCUAGGUGAUUCUGAUGUUGAGAUAAAAACUCAAAGCUUCCACAUUUGUUGCUAUUACUAUAUUACUGUAUUUAAGUGAAUAUGGAAAUCAAGAAUAUGAAAAGGUACUAGAUAUUAGAUGCCUACAUGAGAUGGGUAGACAAUAUGAAGAGUAGUAUGAUAUGGCCAGGCUUGUGGGGGUGGGGUAUGUUAACUACGAUGGGAAUGAGUGCUUUUUCUCAAAGCUUGCUGGGCACUCAGAUGACUCCCUUUUUUGAUUCUGUAGCUUUCCUGACUUAAAAAUCUUCAGAAGCUUUGAGAAAUCCCAUGCUUUUGGUGGCUUGUUUGGAAAUGACAAGAGGAGUCAAGGUAGGCUAAAAUGGUUCUAGGUUACAGGAUAGCUGUGUUGACAUUUAUAGAGAAAAUAUGGUAAAACAAGUAGGUUUUGUAAAGAAAGGUGGAUGAAUAUAUGGUUGAGUUUGGGAAGUGCGUGCCUGGUAUCCAAAUGGGAAUAUCCAGUAGAGAUUUGGAAAAUAGUUUGAUAUUCAGAAGAGAGGUUAGAACUGAAGAAGGCAAUAUGGGAGUGAAGGAAAGCCUCCUGGAGAGGGAUGCUGCAGGCCCUGUGAAUGAAUAGCAUGAUUGAAUUCCAACGUCUAUCUAUGCACCCCUAUCAGCAAGCAAUGUUUAUUUGUUGACCCACUUUCAUCUCACUAAACCAGGGAUGCAGGCAAGUUAAAACUUGUGCUUUGAUUUUCUCAUGUUUAAAAUGAAAAUGAACCUAUUUCAGUGUGGUUGAGAGGAUUAAAAAAUAUCUAUACUUAACAGUUAUUAGCACAUCAUAAAUGUUAAAAAUAUCUGUUUUUCACUGCCUUUACCUAUUGACGUGAAUUCAUUUUCUAGUAAGAUCCAAAUUCAACCCUUUAUAACCUGUGAAACCUUCCUGAAGUGACUCAAGCCUGUGUAGAUCAUAUUCCUCAGAUGAUGAUUCUUCCUCUGCCAUGCAACCUGCCACAAUGCUGCUGUUUUAACGUGUAUUUUUGUUGCACUUGCCUUUUAACUGGGAUAUAAGCUUUCCUUAGGAUUAGGGCCAUGUCUUAUAUUUCUGUGUACAGAUAUUAUUCUGUUUUUCAAACAUUAGUUAUUUUUAUAUAUGUGGUAACUUAGAAUAAAUCCUAAUUGUUAAGACUUGUGCAGAGUAGGGGCUCAACAAUAUUUGCACAAGUGAAUGAAAAAUCGGACGGUCUUAGUAUGUUUCUUUCAUCUCUAGCACAAAUAAUAGAGGAAGACUGGUAAAUGACUGCUUUUCUUAUUUCCAGGCAGCUCAUAAAUCUAAACUCUUUAAAAUUUAAGAUUGCAUAUGAAAACAAAUAUUAUGGGACCUCUUGCCUGGAACUAGG